rnacentral:tRNA from 1 species
UCCCUGGUGGCUCAAACAGUAAAGAACCUGCCUGAAAUGCAGGAGACCCAGGUUCGAUCCCUGGGUAAGGAG